UUUUCCAGCCCGGGAUAGAACCGGGGAUAUUGUGCAUGUGAAGCACACAUGAUGACGGCUACACCACGGAAA